AGUGAACGCUGGCGGUAGGCCUAACACAUGCAAGUCGAACGGCAGCACAGUAAGAGCUUGCUCUUACGGGUGGCGAGUGGCGGACGGGUGAGGAAUACAUCGGAAUCUACUUUUUCGUGGGGGAUAACGUAGGGAAACUUACGCUAAUACCGCAUGCGACCUACGGGUGAAAGCAGGGGAUCUUCGGACCUUGCGCGAUUGAAUGAGCCGAUGUCGGAUUAGCUAGUUGGCGGGGUAAAGGCCCACCAAGGCGACGAUCCGUAGCUGGUCUGAGAGGAUGAUCAGACACACUGGAACUGAGACACGGUCCAGACUCCUACGGGAGGCAGCGGUGGGGAAUAUUGGACAAUGGGCGCAAGCCUGAUCCAGCCAUACCGCGUGGGUGAAGAAGGCCUUCGGGUUGUAAAGCCCUUUUGUUGGGAAAGAAAAGCAGCAGGUUAAUACCCCGCUGUUCUGACGGUACCCAAAGAAUAAGCACCGGCUAACUUCGUG
rnacentral:rRNA from 1 species